GUUGCUCUCCAUACCGCCGCGCCCCUGACCCGGAAGAGCAUUCUCCUUAGCAACUGCGGGACCGCCGCGGCGCCAGCCUCUCGGGAGCAACGAUUAUUGUGGGCAUAUAGGAACGUUAGUGAUAACUUAUUUGUUGAUUUUGGAUCUACCCUUUCUGCAUUCUUGCUGAAAUCAUGAGUCUUAAUAAAUUCUAGUGACGACUAAGCUACACAAGGCCGGAAGAACUCUGAGCUGAGCAGUGGAGGCCCCCUCUGGAUCUGGAGAGAAGAGGCGACUUUGGAACCAGUAAUGAGCCAUCCUGACUGCAGGCUGAACCUCCGGCCCCUGGGGACCCCCAGAGGUGUGUCCUCUGUGGUUGGCCCACAUGGUGUUGGUGCUUCGCCAGGUGACAAAAAGUCAAAGAACAAGUCCAUACGAGGGAAGAAAAAGAGCAUAUUUGAAACCUACAUGUCCAAGGAGGAUGUCUCAGACGGCUUGAAGAGAGGAACACUUAUCCAGGGUGUAUUGAGAAUUAAUCCAAAGAAGUUUCAUGAAGCCUUCAUUCCUUCCCCGGAUGGUGAUCGAGACAUUUUUAUCGAUGGGGUUGUUGCUCGUAAUAGAGCCUUGAAUGGGGAUCUGGUGGUCGUGAACCUGCUUCCAGAGGAGCAAUGGAAGGUAAUUAAACCAGAGAGCAAUGACAAAGAAACAGAAGGUGCCUAUGAAUUAGAUCUCCCUGAGGAGCUCUGUGGAAGCCAUCUCCCACAGCGGUCCGUGAAAGGCUAUAAUGACAGUCCUGAUGUCAUUAUAGAGGCUCAGUUUGAUGACAGCGACUCAGAAGAUGGACAUGGCAACACACAGAAUAUUCUGGUUGAUGGUGUCAAGAAACUCUCAGUUUGUGUUCAUGACAAAGGAAAAGAGGAUGCUGAUGCUCCAGUUACAAAAGAUGAGAGCACCUCCAUGUCACAGGACCCAAGAGCUUUACCAGAGAAAUCGCUGCAAAGAUCAGCAAAGGUGGUUUACAUCUUGGAGAAAAAACAUUCCCGGGCAGCAACUGGCUUUCUCAAACUCUUGGCUGAUAAGAACAGUGAACUGUUUAGGAAAUAUGCCUUGUUUUCUCCCUCGGACCACCGAGUGCCUAGAAUAUAUGUGCCUCUCAAGGACUGUCCCCAGGACUUUGUGACCCGGCCUAAAGAUUAUACCAACACACUGUUCAUCUGCCGCAUCGUGGACUGGAAGGAGGACAGCAAUUUUGCUCUGGGGCAGCUGGCUAAGAGUCUUGGGCAGGCUGGUGAAAUUGAGCCUGAAACAGAAGGAAUACUAACAGAGUAUGGUGUGGAUUUCUCUGAUUUCUCUUCGGAAGUUCUAGACUGUCUCCCUCAAGGUCUGCCCUGGACAAUCCCACCAGAGGAAUUCAGCAAGAGAAGAGAUUUAAGGAAAGACUGUGUCUUCACCAUUGACCCAUCAACUGCCCGCGACCUCGAUGAUGCCCUCUCCUGCAAGCCACUUGCUGAUGGCAACUUUGAAGUGGGGGUUCACAUUGCGGAUGUCAGCUAUUUUGUUCCCGAGGGAUCCCCCCUGGAUAAAGUGGCUGCUGAGAGAGCUACAAGCGUCUACUUAGUUCAGAAGGUCGUCCCCAUGCUUCCCAGGCUGCUGUGCGAGGAGCUGUGCAGCCUCCAUCCCAUGACCGACAAGCUGACCUUCUCUGUGAUCUGGACGCUAACCCCGGAGGGCAAGAUCCUUAGUGAAUGGUUUGGUCGGACCAUCAUUCGCUCCUGUACCAAACUGAGCUACGAGCACGCACAGAGCAUGAUUGAAAGCCCGACCGAGAAAAUCCCCGAGAAGGAGCUGCCGCCCAUCUCCACGGAACACACCAGUGAGGAGAUACACCAGGCUGUCUUGAAUCUCCACGGGAUCGCAAAGGAGUUGCGGAAACAGCGGUUUGUGGACGGCGCACUGCGUCUGGAUCAACUAAAACUUGCUUUCACUCUGGAUCACGAGACUGGACGGCCUCAAGGAUGUCACAUCUACGAGCACCGCGACAGCAACAAGCUCGUGGAGGAGUUUAUGCUCCUGGCCAACAUGGCAGUGGCCCACAAGACUCACCGCACCUUCCCUGAGUGUGCCCUGCUGCGCCGGCACCCCCCACCCCAGACCAAGAUGCUCAAUGACCUCGUGGAAUUCUGCGAACAGAUGGGGCUGCCCAUGGACUUCAGCUCUGCCGGGGCCCUCAAUAAAAGUCUGACCAAAACAUUUGGAGAUGACAAGUACUCACUGGCCCGGAAGGAAGUGCUCACCAACAUGUGCUCCCGGCCCAUGCAGAUGGCCCUGUACUUCUGCUCGGGGGUGCUGCAGGACCAGACGCAGUUCCGGCACUACGCCCUCAAUGUGCCGCUCUACGCCCACUUCACCUCUCCCAUCCGCCGCUUCGCCGACGUCCUGGUGCACCGCCUCCUGGCCGCCGCGCUUGGCUACGGGGAGCUGCCCAACCUGGAGUCCGAGGCCCUGCAAAAGCAGGCCGACCACUGCAAUGACCGCCGCAUGGCCUCCAAGCGCGUCCAGGAGCUCAGCACCGGCCUCUUCUUUGCCAUCCUGGUUAAGGAAAGUGGCCCCCUGGAGUCAGAAGCCAUGGUGCUGGGCGUCCUGAACCAAGCCUUCGAUGUGCUGGUCCUGCGCUACGGGGUGCAGAAGCGUGUCUACUGUAAUGCUCUGCCCCUGCGGUCCCACCACUUCCAGAAGGUGGGCAAGAAGCCUGAGCUCACGCUUGUCUGGGAGCCUGAGGAUGCAGGACAGGAGCAAGUGCAGCAGGUUGUCACCAUCUUCAGCCUGGUGGAGGUGGUACUGCAGGCCGAGACCACCGCCCUCAAGUACAGCGCCAUCCUCAAGCGGCCGGGCACCGAGGGCCUCCUGGGCCUGCAGGACAAGGAGGAGCGAGACACCGGUGGCCCACAGGCCUGAGGCCUCCCGCACAGCCGCACCCCGCCCACACCCCUGCCCCACCCACCGGCUUUUAGGAAUAGGACCUUUCGACACCAAAGGGGAUUUUUAAUUUGGUUUUUAACAACUCAGGGUUUUGUUUUUAUUUCCUCAUUCUAUUUUAUUUUUGCAGCUCAGUUUUUAAACAAACUGGAGAGGAGAGGGCGGGGCUGGACGGAAGGCUGAGGCCUGGCUGGUGCUUCACCGGAGCGGAACGGGACCCGGUCCUCCUGGGAAGGCCAGCCCCUCUUCUGCCAGGCCACCCACUGCCUUCCCCUGCCCAGGAAACCGGGGACUUUCAGCAAAUCAGUGUCAUGGAAUAAAAUCAAGUGUGAAUUACUGUCUGGUGUGUGACACACCGCUGGGAGGCCUGGGCAGCAGGGUGUCCCUUGGACCCAGGACAAGGGACCUGGCUCAGGCUCCACCCCUCUCAGCUGAGCUGGGCUCGCCACCCUCCAGAACCUUCCUGUCAGUCCCAGGAUGAUUCACAGAGCUGGCCACAUGUCAGAUUGAUGCCCGUGCCUCAUUCUGGCUGAUUAGAAAUGUAAUUAGUAUGCAAGACAGCAGGCUUACCCAUCACCCUGCACCAAGUGACUGUCCCUCCCCACCCCCACCACCUCCUCUCUGCCUGCGGGCCUCGGGAGGGACGGCACGAGUCCUGUGGCACUCCCUCCCUCAGGUUCUAGGCCAGAGCUCUGAGUAGCCCUGUCCACACCCCUCGGUACAGGCUGGUACCUCAUCCCUCCGGUGCCAAUCCUGUACCCUGGUGGCGCUGAGGGAGCAGGGGGACAGAGGGGACCUGCGCCUGCCGGAGAUGACCAGAGAGGGGAAAAGGGGUGCCUGGUGGCCCUAACCUGGCCUUGUCACCUUCCUGGCAUCGUCCUGAGCACCCAAUUGCACCAUCCCUGGGGACCCAGGGACCGAGAUGGAGGGCCACUGGGCCGUGCUCUCUCCCCAGCUGGCCUGACCACAGCCUGCACUCCCUCCCUGCCCGACUAGGGAACCACAAGUUGGCUUCCCCAAGGGCUGCCAGAAACAAGGGUGAAAACCAUAGUGACCCCUGCCCUGGUUCCACUGUGCUUUUCCUUGGGUGUUGGUAUUAACGAGCCCAUUUGAUCUGGUUGCAGUGAAUUCUCUUCAAAGAAAAAUUCAGUGCAGUACCUUGUAGGAGGGCCUCACGGGGACCAGAGGACCGAUGGCAUGGCUGCCUUUGUCCCCCACGAGCAGGCCGUGGCUCAUCAUCCGCCCAGCCCCGGGCCGAGUGUCAGAGAGGAACGGGGGACACGCCACAGUCCUGCCUUCCUUUCUCCUGCUCCAGCACCUCAGCCGGCCUUCCAGGUGUCCAUCUCGCCACCCCCAAGAUGUCCCUGAGGCCACCACCCCCCCAUCUGUCCCUGUCCCCAGAGCCUUCUGCAACCAAGGAUCUGAAGGGACGAUAGGUGCGAGAGGCUGGUGGUUUGGUAUUUGGAUGAGGAGAAGAUUUCUGGGUGUUUCCUGUCCUAGGCAGCCGACAGAGCCCAAGGGCAGGACGAUCUCAACCCUGUCCCCAUCCCCUGGGCUGCCCCACCCUCUGAGGAGGAGCCCCGUUCUGCCCCGGGGCUGUCCCCUGCCGGCCGCACACAGAGCCCGGGAGCUGAGCCCCCGUGGCAUGACACCCAUCAGAGAGGCAGUGGGUCGGAGCCCCUGGGCCCUCUCUUGAGCAGCAUGAACUCGGACCGGACCCUAGUCCUUACUGCCCCGGUGCCCCCUGAGCCCCGGUGAGGUGUAGCCGGCUCGGUCAGCAAGGAACAUCUUUGCCGCCAGGACUUGCUUGGGCAGAGGUGGGUCUCGCCCUGAUGCACCCUAGAACCACGGGGGCCGUGGCCACUCCAGCCCAGCCCCGCUUCAUCUGACAGAAGUGGAAACUGCACCCAGAAAGGAGCCAGGCCUCUGGCCAAGGUGACACAGCAGGACUGCCCAGCCAGGACCGGGCUCAGGCACCUGCCCUCCACUGCACCCCACUGCCCAAAGGAGGCGGCCCAGCACUCUCCCCCAAGGUAGCGGGGUCCGUCUUCGUCCCCUCUCCCAGCACGCGGGGCUCUGGCGGAGGUCCACUGAGGGAGCCAGCCCCUUCUGUGUCCCCGUGUGAUGGAAGUAUUGACAAAGGGGCGACGAGACACAAAACCUCAUCAAAAAGGAAGACUCAUCCCUGCGGCUGCUCCAGAGCAUCGGUAUGCAAGUACUGGCAGAAGCCCAGGACCCAGAGCGAGGCUCUGUCUUCCUCAAGGGGCCCCCUCGGAUCACCAUGGCGGAGGGAGCCGGAGAUGCAAAUAACGGCACUAGGAGACGAGGCUCUAGCAAAGUUCCGAGGCUGGAGAGGGCAUUCCCAGCUCCGAAGGGACAGGGGCCAGAAGAUGAUGCGUGGGCCCCACGGGGGUGAAGGAACUGAGGCUCGAAGGCUCGAUGGCUGCUAAUAUGCAGAAAUGUGGCAGAAGUGACUUGGGGCCAGUUUCGAGGCCCCGGCCUUAAGGAACGGACAGCCUCUACUCCCUGUCUCUUGGAAUCCAGCUGCCAUGUUGUGAGGAUGCUCAAGCAACUCUGUGGAGAAGCCCUCGUGGAAGGGAGCCAGUUCCUCAGCCACGUGACGGAGCCAUCUUGGAAGCGGACCCCCCAGGUCCCAUCCAGCCACCCCCGCCGAAGCCCCAUAGAUCAGACACACACUGUCCCCUCCAGGCCCUGCCCAGAUUGCAGAUUUGUGAUCCCAAGAAAUGUGUGAGGUGGUUUGGGGCUGGUUCGUUAUACAAACCAUUACAGAUACCAAGAAGAGAAGAUCAGUAGAAUGUGUCAAUAGAUAGAGCUUACAAUUGAAAAAUGAAGAAGUGAUUUAGAAACAGUGGUAAAUAUCAACAUAGAAAGCCAAAAGAGAGGAAAGUGGUUGCCUCAGAGAUGGGAAAAGGCAGGGAGGGAGACAGGGAACUGCUGUUUUUGUUCUGUCGGAACAAACCUCACAGAGCAAUUUGGUAAUUUAAACUAUAUUCAUGUAUAACUUGGAUAAGAAUAAAAACCCAAACAACCUCCCCCGCCCCAAAAAAAAUACUUUUUUCUUAGCAGGAAUGGAUCUACAGUUCUUUUAAAAGGCUUUUAAAAGGGAUAUUAAACAGUCCAUCAUUCCAGUAAGUAAGAUAAAAUUCCUGCUGACAGGUGGCCUGAUACUCCCAGUGAGUUCAAAUGCUGCCUAAGGCCUUCUACUUAAAGACUCAGGUGGCAGUCUGGGCGGGGACGCCCCUGGGGGCUGUGGUGGCUCCCUGUCUGAGCCAAGGUAGGGAGUCCAGGGCAAGGGACUAGGCCCUGGGCAGCUAACCAGCCAGGAAGUCGGAGGGGUGGGGGGUGCGAUGGUGUUGGGCAGAACCACAGGUGAGGCUGUGGGCCUCCCCAAUGUGAUGCAAGUCUGCAGGAGGGCUGAACUUCAGGCCCCAGCUGGACUCUGACAACAGAGGCCCAGUUCAUGGGCCCAAUCACAGAUUUCAGGGUCAGUUGAAGGUGAGAGGGGUAUUGAAGUCGAUGAAAGACGUGAGUCCUGGUGAAUGGAAGGAGAAAGAUGCCUUCCACAACAGUAAAGAAGAUUCUGGAGAUGGGGGGAGGGUACAUGAAGUACUUGGAAUGAUGAGUUUGAAUCUGCACAUAACUGAGUCAGGUUACAUGCUUAAAGCCUUCUGCAAGAUCAUCUCUUUGAACCUUCUCUUUUUAUGAGUCUUUAUGGUUUGGUGGUUUGUCUUUUUUUUAAUAUAUAGAAAGCAAUUUUGGGGGGUGGAGUCCCAUUUUAAUAAUUUAUUUGACUUAAAGUUGUUUUACUCAAACACUUUCGUGAAUUGUGUUGUGUUCUUUAAUGUUCAUAAAUUGUUCAUUGCUCAGUUCUGGAAAGCGUUGAGCCAAAUACCGAAGAAGCAACAGAUAGGGAAGCGCAAGACAGACGUGAAGCAGAAUGUCUCCUCGAGGAGAUUUCACCGUCGUAGAUUUUCAGACCAAGCUGCUGUUGGAAUAAGACUGCCCUCCUGGUUCUUGGGAUAGAAAAAUCAGAGUUAAGGUACUGAAUGCAGUUCCAGGAGCCAGCUUUCGUUCCCUCGCCUUCUACAUGCACGGCCAAACGCCCCGUCGGCCGUGGAGGUGUCGUCAUGCGUCACCCUAAGGAGAAGGACCUUGAGCCACGACUGCCGCUGCACCCCCAGCCUGGGGCAGGCUGAGCCCCCGGGAACUGUAUGAGGAAGGGGGGAUGGUGGUGUUUCCAGCCCUGCUGGUGGACGGUCCCCUCUUCUGCACUCCCCGGAGAUAUGUGACCCAAGUUCCCCUGUGGAAGGGCAGUGCCUGGAUGUCCCUCCCACACGGGUGGGUGGAAUGGCCCAGGAGGAAGCCUUGCCCACACAGACCUUAAUUACAAAUACUUGCUUUCUAGGAAUAAACCACUUUGUCUAACACUUGGCCGACUGG